AGCUUUGCACAGUGGCAGUAUCAUAGCCAAUUAGGUUUAUCCGAGGUGCGAUUAUUGCUAAUUGAAAACAAAACAUAAGCCG
rnacentral:snRNA from 1 species